rnacentral:rRNA from 1 species
CAACCGUAAAAUUAGCCUUUGAUACUGUUAUUCUUGAGUACAUUUGAGGUAGGCGGAAUGUGUUGUGUAGCGGUGAAAUAGCUUAGAUAUAACACAGAACACCGAUUGCGAAGGCAGCUUACUAAACUAGUAACUGACGCUGAUGCACGAAAGCGUGGGGAUCGAACAGGAUUAGAUACCCCUGGUAG